rnacentral:rRNA from 1 species
UGGGAACCUUCCCUAUGGUUCGGAAUAGCCCAGGGAAACUUGGGGUAAUACCGAAUAAGCCCUUCGGGGGAAAGAUUUAUCGCCAUUGGAUGGGCCCGCGUCGGAUUAGCUAGUUGGUGGGGUAAAGGCCCACCAAGGCGACGAUCCGUAGCUGGUCUGAGAGGAUGAUCAGCCACACUGGGACUGAGACACGGCCCAGACUCCUACGGGAGGCAG